UACUCCUACGGGAGGCAGCAGUGGGGAAUAUUGCACAAUGGGGGAAACCCUGAUGCAGCGACGCCGCGUGAAGGAAGAAGUAUUUCGGUAUGUAAACUUCUAUCAGCAAGGAAGAUAAUGACGGUACUUGACUAAGAAGCCCCGGCUAACUACGUGCCAGCAGCCGCGGUAAUA
rnacentral:rRNA from 1 species